UCUUGGGAUUAUUGAAGACUAACUACUGCGAAAGCAUUUGNCAAGGGAUGUUUUCCCNUNUAAGAACGAAAGUUAGGGGAUCGAAGACGAUCAGAUACCCCUUUNUANACAUUAACCAUAAACUAUGCCGACUAGGGAUCGGAUGAUGUUAAUUUUUUAAUGACUCA
rnacentral:rRNA from 1 species